rnacentral:lncRNA from 10 species
AAGAGGAGGAACAGGGAAUAUCAUUUGUGAGCAAAAAUUCAGAAAGCAAUUUCAAGGCUCCAUAAGUGUUAUCUUUAUAGCUUAAUUUCAGCUUCCUAAUGUAACUUAAAUGUGGAGUUUAAAGAGAAACUAAUGUACUGGAGAAAAUCUUUCAAAACACAGCAGCAUGUUUCAGUAUGAAUAAAUUUGCUUUGCCCAUUAUUUUUCAUAAUGUUUUUUCACAUUAUCAUAGAAAAUUAUCAUAGCAACUUGAGUUUAAACAUGGACUUUCCCUAACACUGUCAGCAUUUCUUUUGCAUGUUCUUCAAGUGUAAUGCAUGAAAACCACGAUAGGCCUUCACUGUGCUGAAUACCAGGACAGAAGUACAGAUAGGAACUCACAUGUCGAAGACUUGCUGUUUGUUACUGUGGGAGGAUGAACACUCUGCAUCUAUUCCUGAGGUCACCAACCAGCAAAUACAUCUCCAUCUGGCAAGGCUCAGGGUCGAAGGGAGAGGAAAAGAAGGAAUUCAGUCUUUUAACCUGCAAGAAAACUCACUCAUGCAGACAGAAGUCCAACAGCAAACAGCACACCAGGGUUGCGACUGAAAUGAAGAGCAGUUGAUCAUUAUUCACCCUGUAUGAAAAUGAUACGACCUAAAAGUUUAACUGAGUAGUACAGUAUUUUGGUAGGUAAAGAUGAACACUUAACAAGUAUACAUCCUUGUAAGUAAUUCCUUCAAUAACAAGAUAAAAAUCCUCACAUCUAGAUUUUUCUAUAUGGUUAUUACUUCCUUAUUGAUUUUCUGGAAGUUUCUCUUGGCCAAGCAUAUAAAGCCAUGCUCAGUCACUCACAGUGCUGGGAAAUAUGGAGCAUUCUUUUAUCUGUGUCCUGUCAUAAUUAUUGACCUUCUUCAGAGACUGGCAGGAGUUUGAUAAAAAGAUGAGCUUCAGUAUUUCAUCUACCUCUACCUUGAUGUUACUCUCCAUCAGACAGGAGCUUAAGCCAUUUCCAAUAUUACUUCGUAUACCUAUGAUUGCUAUGAAAAAAGAUUGAUUUCAGUUGAUAUUUUGUAUGAUUCAUUCUCUAACAUGAUCACACAUCAUCUAUCAUUUUCUCUAUUCCAGAGAAUGCAUGCUACUAAUAUUACUAGUUACUGAAGCUGUAAGCCCAUGAGGUUUCAUUUAUGACAACUUGG